AGAUGAGUCGCCAGACUCCAUAAACA
rnacentral:tRNA from 1 species